rnacentral:rRNA from 1 species
UACGUAGGGUCCGAGCGUUGUCCGGAAUUACUGGGCGUAAAGAGCUCGUAGGUGGUUUGUCGCGUUGUUCGUGAAAACUCACAGCUUAACUGUGGGCGUGCGGGCGAUACGGGCAGACUGGAGUACUGCAGGGGAGACUGGAAUUCCUGGUGUAGCGGUGGAAUGCGCAGAUAUCAAGAGGAACACCUGCGGCGAAGGCGGGUUGCUGGGCCGACACUGACGCUGAGGCGCGAAAGCUAGGGGAGCGAACGGG